GGCCUCUUGAACUUGCCCCGAAGGUCAAAGAGUUUCUGGUUCAUGUCUUCUAGCUGCAGGGAGGCAGGGGAAUGCCCGGGAUGAGAAGGGCUGCAUCAACCUUGGCGUGGAGCUGCCUGCAAAGGUCCUGGAGGGGAGAGGGUCCAGGUUAAUGGCCAGGCAGACACUAAGACUCCCUGUCUUGAGCCCAGACCUGCUCUUGGUGUAGAACUGCCUGCCACCUGAGGCCAGGAUGGAGCUGUCCAGCAUGGGCAGGAGCUACCUCAGAAGGGCUUUAGGCAGAGCAGCUGGAUGCUUCAAGUUGCUGGGGAUGGUGUGGAAGAGACGCCACUAGGGAGGGCUGGACUGGAUGUAUACCUGCCACUGGGAUUCUGGAUACAUCUCAUCCCUGUGAAGCUCAGUGGCAGCUAUCUGGAGCAUGACACUCUGGGAGGAGCAGGCCCGGAAAAAGAUGGGGACAUGUGUCCUUCUCUGACUUAAGAGACUCCAAUCCCUGUCCAGAGGCCAAGUGUCAGCUCUGCCCUGCUCCACCUAGCAGUGACCCCCAGCCUCAGUUUCCCCAUCUGUAAAUGAGGCAUGCUGCUCCUGGCUCUGCCUUCCUCAGGUGGUUGAAGCACUUGGAAACAGGCCUCAAAGGAGAAGGGACCUGUCACACAUGGGUGCACUGAAAUACCGGGUGGGUGCCAGAGGAAGGGAAGGAGCUGAGCUCUGCUGCCAGGCCACUUAGAAGCCACGAGUAGAAACUUCAGGAAGGCAGAUUGUGUCUUCCCAAGGAUCCCAACUGUUUGGGACCGGAGUAGACUGCCUGGGAAGGUAUAGGCAGUGAGCUCCCCAUCACUGGAGGCAUUCAAGAAGGCAGGAGGUACCCUCGCUUCACGAAGGCUUCAGAGGGCGCAAUUGCACUGGGAAGGAGGCUGCAGAGAUCCCUCCCAGCUCUGGCAUUCCAAGCUUGUGAGACCACAUUGGCCCUGCCCCGCCCCCCAUCAGACUGGUGUCCUUGGCCUACAAAGCCUCUUUUCACCUGGGGAUCGUGUGAGGCUCUGCUGACUCGGAGCAAUAAAGAAGCAGCUUUCCUUGGCUCUCUGUCGCCCCCUCGUGUCCAGUACAGGAAUGAGC